AAAAUAUAUAAAAUUGUUUCUUUUGUUUGAUUUGGUUUCAAUCUAAUACUGGUUCGCUUCUUGAUGAAGAACCAGAAUCGAACCGAAACAAUGCAAUAAAUUCAGUUCGGUUUGGUUCUUACUGUAAUGGUUCAGUUUGGUUUUUCGGUUCGGUUUGGAGCCCCAGGAACUGUAUACAACCCUAAUCACAGAGAGAGAGAGAGAGA
rnacentral:misc_RNA from 1 species